CUCAUUGACCUCUUCAAAUCCAGAAAAGGAGUUGUCGGCCAAUCACUUGGUCACCUCUUCCAGCCAAUCAAUUCACAAACAAAUGGCAUCACCACAACACGCACUGUUGUCCUGCAAUGUCUGCCCCUGUAUCUUGGAGAUAAUUCCAGUGAAUUCUUCCUCAGCUGCUCAGAUUCAGACACUGCAGAUGACUUCACUCAGGUGCCUGUUGGGGUUCUUAACGUCAUGACCAGCGACAUGCCACCAUUGAUUAACAGCGUUGCAAUCAUCCUUGAAGGAA